GAUGAACGCUGACAGAAUGCUUAACACAUGCAAGUCAACUUGAAUUUGGGUUUUUAACUUCGGUUUGGGUGGCGGACGGGUGAGUAACGCGUAAAGAACUUGCCUCACAGCUAGGGACAACAUUUGGAAACGAAUGCUAAUACCUAAUAUUAUGAUAAUAGGGCAUCCUAUAAUUAUGAAAGCUAUAAGCGCUGUGAGAGAGCUUUGCGUCCCAUUAGCUAGUUGGAGAGGUAACGGCUCACCAAGGCGAUGAUGGGUAGCCGGCCUGAGAGGGUGAUCGGCCACAAGGGGACUGAGACACGGCCCUUACUCCUACGGGAGGCAGCAGUGGGGAAUAUUGGACAAUGGACCAAGAGUCUGAUCCAGCAAUUCUGUGUGCACGAUGAAGUUUUUCGGAAUGUAAAGUGCUUUCAGUUGGGAAGAAAGAAAUGACGGUACCAACAGAAGAAGUGACGGCUAAAUACGUG
rnacentral:rRNA from 1 species